UAGUCAGAGCUGUGACGCGCGGUUCCGUGUGUUGUGAGGGCGAGGGUGAUGGAAUACUGACUUGAGAUACCGUCCAGGGCACUUUCCGUGACUGUCGGUGUUUGUGAGUGUGUGUGUGGGAGUGGUGGCCUGUUACAAAAUGAGUUAAGUAGCAGCAGACACGAGGACGCAGGAGCAGACUGGGCGGUGCUGCCAGCCUACCCCAAGGUGGCGCCGCGCCGCCGCCACUCAGGGCAACGCAGGUACAGUUGACAGUACGAUUGUUGAUAUUUGCUCUGGACGGGAAUUAAGCCCUUCCAUUCUGUUGUAAAUAACCGCGAUAAGCACACGAUGAACACGCUGGCUCAAGUCAUUUAUACGUAAACUGCUUUGAACAAGGAUCGUGAUGAGGAGAUGCUUACGACGCAAGUGCAACAAAAUGGCGACACCUUAGUAACUCGGCUCCAUAUUUAGGCAGUGUAUUGGCAUAUUGCGUAAAAUUAAUGGAAUAACUACGAAGUCGGCGUCCUAUCGACAAUGCAUCGAUGAAAUGCAUUAGAAUGUGUCGAUUUACCAGAUACAGUGUCUGUCUUCAGAGUUAGUGGCAUAUCAACGCGAUGUCGGUGAAUUACAAUAGACAAAAUACCAAUGUCGUAAUAUCCAGGACGUAUCGUACAUUUUAUGUUGGUUGUAAUGUACGGGGCUCGCGGUCAGUCCCCAGUGUCUCGCCAUUAUGUGAAACGAUACCAAAUCACAUCUAAGUGGACGGAACGUGACGCCUGCGAAGUCACCGCCGCCUCGCCCUGUUAUCAAGUAUUCAUCGCCGAAAGAUGAAUGUCGUAAAGCACCGCGACAUUCUGGUGCACCACCACGUCAUCGUGACCCUGCAUCCACACCUGCCGACUCGUCGCACACAACGGCGACACGCCUUGGUUGUCAGCCACUUUGGUAAGCAAGUCCAUAGCAUCUGCAGUGUGCGGAACUGACGAGACACAAAGGGACUGUGAAAUAAAGGAAAUCAAGAGCCAUAAGACGAGAAGACGUCGGUGGAGUGUGAGCGAUCCACAAAUAGCUGCUGAGUAACUUGAUGGGAAUGGGAGAGGCAAUUACCUCUUGAUUGUCGACCAUAAACUGGCGAGGAUCGUGUUGGCGAAGCGCGGUACACACGGGGCAGCGGCGGGGUGGGCGAAGCUUUGUGGCCCGUGACGGAGAAGUUGAGAGAUUUGGCUCACAGCAGGAAUGGCGUGGAGUAGGGCGUGGGCUGGAGACAGAAAGGAGCUCCAAGUUUGCCCAAGUUAUCGAACCCCGGCGUGUUCUCCCAAGGCAGCGCGAAGACCAACAAGCCGAAUGUCCAUUAUCACAAUACACAUUGCUGAGUAUGCUGCUGGUGACCCCGAGACCCACGCCUGCUGUAGUCUUCCCUGCUGGCCGCUUCCUGGAACUCCCGGCACCUGAGAGAUAGUUAUGGCUUUAGUUGAACAGGUGUGAAGCUUCCUCACUUUCUCACCUGGUGUUUGUGCCACGCGGACAUAGGUG